rnacentral:lncRNA from 1 species
GUGCAGUGUAAUCCCAAGGGUCAUGAAGAUUAGAAGAGAGGCUAGAGAGGAGAGUGACAGAGUGAGGUGGAUAUGUGAAUAUGAAAGAAAGGUAUAGAGAGAUGCAACAUUGGUGGCUUUGAAGAUGAAGGAAGGAGGUCUCCAGAAGCUGGAAAUGUCAAGAAAAGAGACUCUUAUAAAACCUCCAGAAAGACAUGUAUAAUGAAGAUCACUGUGACAGAGAGGAGAAAGAGAAAGGAGAGGAUGGCCAGAGAAAUUACCAAAUAUUUAGUGGAUGGAUUUACCUUUCUGGAAUGCUUGGUUGGAUCCUGGAACUGCAGGUCCCUGAACUUCAGCUGGCCCCAAAACUUGAGCAAGCUCUAAAAAGCAGAACAUCUCCCACUUAACAGUUUAUUCUGAGAACUAGCCAACCACAGGAGGGAAAAUCAUAUCUCCAGUUAAAGUGCCCUGAUCAUGCCACCUGCUCAUCCUACCCCCCUUGCCCUGUUCCCAUACAAACGUCCUGCUAGCCCUGUUUACACCUUUUUUUUUUAACUCUUUUUUUAAAAUUUGAUUUUUAGACAUUUGAAGAUUUCUGUGGUCAGAGGGUCUGUAAUAGUUUUUUUUUUAAAAUAAAGCUGCUCCUUACCUAAAUCCAGAUUUGUUUUUAUUGAAUAUAAUAAUAAAUGACCAUAUUACCUUCACCUAGAUUUAUCAAUUUUGCUACAUUUGUACACUUUCUUUUACAUAUUUAUCUAUUACUGUAUUAUAUAAUACAUUAUAAUAUAUAUGCACAUACAUUAUUCAAAAAUAGUUAUCUCUUC